AUCCUUCGUAGUGGCAGUAUCGUAGCUCUAUGAGGUCAACUGAGGCGUGAUUAUUGCUAGUUGGAAACUUUAACUAAUUCCCGCCUUGACGGCACUGAAAUAUAGUCGGCAAUGGUAAUUUUUGAUGGUUCCAUGGAG